CCUACGGGUGGCUGCAGUGAGGAAUAUUGGUCAAUGGACGAGAGUCUGAACCAGCCAAGUAGCGUGAAGGAUGACUGCCCUAUGGGUUGUAAACUUCUUUUAUAUGGGAGUAAACUGUUCCACGUGUGGGAUUUUGUAUGUACCAUAUGAAUAAGUAUCGGCUAACUCCGUGCCAGCAGCCGCGGUAAUACGGAGGAUCCGAGCGUUAUCCGGCUUUAUUGGGUUUAAAGGGAGCGUAGGUGGAUUGUUAAGUCAGUUGUGAAAGUUUGCGGCUCAACCGUAAAAUUGCAGUUGAUACUGGCAGUCUUGAGUACAGUAGAGGUGUGCGGAAUUCGUGGUGUAGCGGUGAAAUGCUUAGAUAUCACGAAGAACUCCGAUUGCGAAGGCAGUUCACUGGACUGCAACUGACACUGAGGCUCGAAAGUGUGGGUAUCAAACAGGAUUAGAUACCCGAGUAGUC
rnacentral:rRNA from 1 species